GACGAACGCUGGCGGCGUGCUUAACACAUGCAAGUCGAACGGAAAGGUCCUGCCUUUUUGGGCUGCUCGAGUUGCGACCGGGUGAGUAACACGUGAGUAACGUGCCCUUGCCUUUGGGGUAACUUCAUGAAACUGGGUCUCAUACCGCCUAGGAGCUCCUGCCGCUGGGUGGGGGUGGGUAGGUUUCGGCGGUUGGGGGUGGACUAGCCUCCUAUCAGCUUGUUGGUGGGGUGGUGUCUUAGCAAGGCUUUGACCGGUAGCCGGCCUGAGAGGGUGACCGGCCACGUCAGGAUUGAGAUACGACACAGACUCGUACGGGAGGCAGCAGAGGAGAAGAGUACACUAUGGGAGGAAGCCUGAUGCAGCAACGCCGCGUGCGGGAAGACGGGCUGGGGGUAGGAAUCCGCUGUCCUCUGUCACGAAGUGUGAGUGACGGUAACGGGUAAAGAAGCACCGGCUAACUACGUG
rnacentral:rRNA from 1 species